rnacentral:rRNA from 1 species
UCCUGAACAUGCCCGAUUCCAUUUGUUCUUGGAAAUUAAGCAGGAU